GCCAGUGUGUGUGUGUGUGUGUGUGUGUGUGUGUGUGUGUGUGUGUGUGGUCAGAUUGGGCCUGACCCGGCGGGCCUCUGGAGUCCUGCUGUGACGUGGGGAUGUUACUGCACCGCAGACUGUCUGUCUGAGCAGGAGGUCGCCCCCUGCUGGCCUGGCUGACUCACGGACACUGCUCUCCAUUCCCAGUAUGCCCCAGCCACAGGAAGUGAUGUUAUCGGGGCAUUGCAGGUCCCAGGAAAUGAUGUCACUGGGCAUCAAGUAACCCACUGGGACUACAGGAAGUGACAUAAGUAUAUUUCUUUAGGCAAGAGAAUGGAUGAGAGCAUGUGGCAUAUGUGUCAACUAGACAGCACAGCUGCCCCAUCAACCAAAUUCAGAGUAGAAUGCAGCACCCUGGUUGCUCAUGGGAAGUGUAGUCCCUUAAGGCCAGUCCGGUCCAUCCAUGAUCAGCACCCUUGGUGCUUAUGGGAAGUGUAGUCCCUUGAGGCCAGUCCGGUCCAUCCAUGAUCAGCACCCUUGGUGCUUAUGGGAAGUGUAGUCCCUUGAGGCCAGUCCGGUCCAUCCAUGAUCAACCAACCAAUAGGGAGCCACCUCCUCUAAACCUGUCUCUGUAGUAUGGAUUGUAUUGUGAUGUAUUGUAUUGUAUUGGUAUUGUACUGUAUGGUAUUGUAUUUUAUUGUAUUGUAUGGUAUUGUACACCCUCUCUGGGUGCGGUUUGGCUUUUUGACCCUCUUCCCCACCACUACUGGUUCUUCUCUCACACUCUCUGACUUGUUUUUGUACGUUUCUUUGCGGCUAACCAGACACACUGACCAUAAUCCUGCCCUAUUGUCCAGUGGGUUGUACGAUAAAGAGAACAAACGACUCGUAGUUAUUAAAAAUAAAAAAUAAAACCAACAACAAA